UAUCUUUCAGACUUGGAUACUUUUGGUAACCUCAACCCACAUAAUGUAACCGUUUUACUAAGCUGCAGGAAUGCUACAGUUGAUUGUCAUGACUUGGAUAAACACCAUCUUGCUUGUGUCUGCAUCAAGUAAUGAUAUGGUACCUUGGAUGGUUAGAAUGCAAGCAUUCUUAGUGGUGAUGGAAGCAGAUGGAUGUCAAAUAAAUGUUUGCGAAAAAUGCG